CGUUCGAGCUUAUCGGAUUGCUCGGGCGGUGAAGGGGUCCCAGGAAAUAGCCCCCGCGUGAGACCGUACCCGAAACCGACACAGGUGGACAGGUAGAGUAUACCAAGGCGCUUGAGAGAACUAUGCUGAAGGAACUCGGCAAUUUGCCUCCGUAACUUCGGGAUAAGGAGGCCUGUCUUGGACGCAAGUCUGAGACAGGGGCACAGACCAGGGGGUGGCGACUGUUUAUCUAAAACACAGGGCUCUGCGAAGUCUGUAAGACGACGUAU
rnacentral:rRNA from 1 species